UUAUUUAUAGGGCUUUCUUGAAUUCACUUGCCUCAGUCUUCUGAACUCUAAUAUCUUAAAUUUCUUUUUCUUCUAAUUUAGAAGUUUUUAGGAAGUUCUUCAGGACUAGGACUAUCAUACUUUCACUGGAUAAACACAAGAAACCACCAUGAGGAUAUCCACAGAGGCCACAGAGGCUUGAUGAGCACACUUCACCAAGCCACCAAACAGGACACAUGAGGGAGCCCGAUGUGAGACUCGAUCCCAGGACCUUAGGAUCACGACCUGAGCCAAAGGCAGAUACUCAACCACUGAGCCAUCCAGGCACCUUUAUUGUUAUAUUCAAUAAUUUUCUGUUGUUGGAAAUGGAAAUGAGUGGAUAUUUGUGAUGAGGAGAAUACUGGAGAAGGCUCUGUGCAGCAGCUAGUCUUUAAAUUCUUCUGCCAUAAGAGGACUACUCUGG
rnacentral:lncRNA from 1 species